rnacentral:rRNA from 1 species
CUCCUACGGGAGGCAGCAGUAGGGAAUCUUCCACAAUGGGCGCAAGCCUGAUGGAGCAACACCGCGUGAGUGAAGAAGGGUUUCGGCUCGUAAAGCUCUGUUGUUGGAGAAGAACGUGCGUGAGAGUAACUGUUCACGCAGUGACGGUAUCCAACCAGAAAGUCACGGCUAACUACGUGCCAGCAGCCGCGGUAAUACGUAGGUGGCAAGCGUUAUCCGGAUUUAUUGGGCGUAAAGCGAGCGCAGGCGGUUGCUUAGGUCUGAUGUGAAAGCCUUCGGCUUAACCGAAGAAGUGCAUCGGAAACCGGGCGACUUGAGUGCAGAAGAGGACAGUGGAACUCCAUGUGUAGCGGUGGAAUGCGUAGAUAUAUGGAAGAACACCAGUGGCGAAGGCGGCUGUCUGGUCUGCAACUGACGCUGAGGCUCGAAAGCAUGGGUAGCGAACAGGAUUAGAUACCCUGGUAGUCCAUGCCGUAAACGAUGAGUGCUAGGUGUUGGAGGGUUUCCGCCCUUCAGUGCCGGAGCUAACGCCUUAAGCACUCNUCCUG